GACGAACGCUGGCGGCGUGCCUAAUACAUGCAAGUAGAACGCUGAAGGAGGAGCUUGCUCUUCUGGAUGAGUUGCGAACGGGUGAGUAACGCGUAGGUAACCUGCCUGGUAGCGGGGGAUAACUAUUGGAAACGAUAGCUAAUACCGCAUAAGAGUAGAUGUUGCAUGACAUUUGCUUAAAAGGUGCAAUUGCAUCACUACCAGAUGGACCUGCGUUGUAUUAGCUAGUUGGUGGGGUAACGGCUCACCAAGGCGACGAUACAUAGCCGACCUGAGAGGGGGAUCGGCCACACUGGGACGGAGACACGGCCCAGACUCCUACGGGAGGCAGCAGUAGGGAAUCUUCGGCAAUGGACGGAAGUCUGACCGAGCAACGCCGCGUGAGUGAAGAAGGUUGUCGGAUCGUAAAGCUCUGUUGUAAGAGAAGAACGAGUGUGAGAGUGGAAAGUUCACACUGUGACGGUAUCUUAACAGAAAGGGACGGCUAACUACGUG
rnacentral:rRNA from 1 species